rnacentral:rRNA from 1 species
CAGCAGCCACGGGAAUACAGAGGGUGCGAGCGUUAAUCGGAUUUACUGGGCGUAAAGCGUGCGUAGGCGGCUUCUUAAGUCGGAUGUGAAAUCCCUGAGCUUAACUUAGGAAUUGCAUUCGAUACUGGGAAGCUAGAGUAUGGGAGAGGAUGGUAGAAUUCCAGGUGUAGCGGUGAAAUGCGUAGAGAUCUGGAGGAAUACCGAUGGCGAAGGCAGCCAUCUGGCCUAAUACUGACGCUGAGGUACGAAAGCAUGGGGAGCAAACAGGAUUAGAUACCCGGGUAGUCCCUGUCUCUUAACA